rnacentral:rRNA from 1 species
GACGAACGCUGGCGGCGUGCUUAACACAUGCAAGUCGAACGGAAAGGCCCUGCUUUUGUGGGGUGCUCGAGUGGCGAACGGGUGAGUAACACGUGAGUAACCUGCCCUUGACUUUGGGAUAACUUCAGGAAACUGGGGCUAAUACCGGAUAGGAGCUCCUGCUGCAUGGUGGGGGUUGGAAAGUUUCGGCGGUUGGGGAUGGACUCGCGGCUUAUCAGCUUGUUGGUGGGGUAGUGGCUUACCAAGGCUUUGACGGGUAGCCGGCCUGAGAGGGUGACCGGCCACAUUGGGACUGAGAUACGGCCCAGACUCCUACGGGAGGCAGCAGUGGGGAAUAUUGCACAAUGGGCGGAAGCCUGAUGCAGCAACGCCGCGUGCGGGAUGACGGCCUUCGGGUUGUAAACCGCUUUCGCCUGUGACGAAGCGUGAGUGACGGUAAUGGGUAAAGAAGCACCGGCUAACUACGUGCCAGCAGCCGCGGUGAUACGUAGGGUGCGAGCGUUGUCCGGAUUUAUUGGGCGUAAAGGGCUCGUAGGUGGUUGAUCGCGUCGGAAGUGUAAUCUUGGGGCUUAACCCUGAGCGUGCUUUCGAUACGGGUUGACUUGAGGAAGGUAGGGGAGAAUGGAAUUCCUGGUGGAGCGGUGGAAUGCGCAGAUAUCAGGAGGAACACCAGUGGCGAAGGCGGUUCUCUGGGCCUUUCCUGACGCUGAGGAGCGAAAGCGUGGGGAGCGAACAGGCUUAGAUACCCUGGUAGUCCACGCUGUAAACGGUGGGUACUAGGUGUGGGGUCCAUUCCACGGGUUCCGUGCCGUAGCUAACGCUUUAAGUACCCCGCCUGGGGAGUACGGCCGCAAGGCUAAAACUCAAAGGAAUUGACGGGGCCCCGCACAAGCGGCGGAGCAUGCGGAUUAAUUCGAUGCAACGCGUAGAACCUUACCUGGGUUUGACAUGGAUCGGGAGUGCUCAGAGAUGGGUGUGCCUCUUUUGGGGUCGGUUCACAGGUGGUGCAUGGCUGUCGUCAGCUCGUGUCGUGAGAUGUUGGGUUAAGUCCCGCAACGAGCGCAACCCUUGUUCACUGUUGCCAGCACGUUAUGGUGGGGACUCAGUGGAGACCGCCGAGGUCAACUCGGAGGAAGGUGGGGAUGACGUCAAGUCAUCAUGCCCCUUAUGUCCAGGGCUUCACGCAUGCUACAAUGGCUGGUACAGAGAGUGGCGAGCCUGUGAGGGUGAGCGAAUCUCGGAAAGCCGGUCUCAGUUCGGAUUGGGGUCUGCAACUCGACCUCAUGAAGUCGGAGUCGCUAGUAAUCGCAGAUCAGCAACGCUGCGGUGAAUACGUUCCCGGG